rnacentral:misc_RNA from 1 species
UGGUGAACCAGCGGAGGGAUCAUUACCGAAGUUACCUUCAAAACCCACUGUGAACCUUACCUCUUGCCGCGUUGUCUCGGCGGGAGGCGGGGUGCGUCAAGGCCCUCGGGCCGCGCCGCUCCCCGUCCCCGCCGGCGGCGCCAAACUCUAAAUGCACAGCGGACUGUACGUUCUGAUUUACAAAAAAAACAAGUUAAAACUUUCAACAACGGAUCUCUUGGUUCUGG